GCGCACCAGGCGCGAAACCUCCGCAAUGCUCGAAAGAGCGACGGGGGGACUCCAAGUGCCUACGCUCAGCGUAGGCUGUUCCCGAGCCUAAAAAGCUCGGGGAGUAAGGGCUGGGUAAGACGGGUGCCAGCCGCCGCGGUAAUACCCGCAGCCCGAGUGGUGGCCGCUAUUAUUGGGCCUAAAGCGUCCGUAGCCGGCUCGGUAAAUGCCUGGGUAAAUCGUCUGGCCCAACCAGACGAAUUCCGGGUAGACUGCCGGGCUAGGGACCGGAGGAGGGAGAGGGUACUCCAGGGGUAGGGGUGAAAUCAGCAAGGUGAGUUGCUGAUGUAACUUGCCUUGCAAGUCACAAUCCUGUAAUCCCUGGAGGACCACCGGUGGCGAAGGCGCUCUCCUAGGACGGUCCGACGGUGAGGGACAAAAGCCAGGGGAGCAAACCGGAUUAGAUACCCGGGUAGU
rnacentral:rRNA from 1 species